CACGAUAAGCAAAAGCAUCACCAGCUCAGACACUGGAGUCUCCUCCAGAGAUGGGAAGUUACCACGGGAGAAAGGAUCACAGCACUCAGGACACUGGGGUGAAAGCUGCCGAAACCCUCACCACUGCACUCGAGCUUGAUGCCUGACAGCUGCGCUAAUCUCGCUACGCUCCAAAGUGGAGAAAAGAAACGGAAGUUGCCUUACCUGACAACGGAGACAAGCAAGUGUUACGAACAGACUUGUGCCUUCCUCCCCCAAAUUCACCUGGGACCGGAUUCAGAGACUGGGUCCAUAAGCAGAGAGGAAAGGUCUCCUGUGGGCAUGUUGAGAAGUCACCAUCUUGAAGUCAAGAAGACAGACCUCACCUGAAAACAAUGAUACAGGCACCUUGCUCUUGGACUUCUGGCUCCAGAACUCUGAGGAAAUAAAUUUCUGUUGUUUAAGAUACCCACACUGUGACGUUUUGUUACGGCAGCCCUGUGUGAAUAAUAUACCAAGAUCACUGAGGCAUUUAACCUAAUAUAGCCAGAAUUCAUUGAAUCCAAUCUUUACUCAAGGAGGCUAGGUAUAUUUACAGUUAGGCCCUUUUUUCUGAAACGAACGAAAACAAAACUUUUAAAUUAACUGAAUAGGAAACACACAGGCAUAAUAAAAUGUUCAUGGGUUUACAUGGUGCCGUGGAUUGAAUUACAUCCCCAUGAAAUUCCCAUGUGGAAGCCUUAAUCCCCAAUGUGAUAGACUUUGGAGAUAAGGCUUUGGGAAGAUAAUCAAGUUUAGCUGUCAAGAAAGUAGAGACCUUGAGAUGGGGUUAAUGUUUUUACUGAGAAGAGUAGCUACGAAGCUGACUCUUGCUGUCUCGCUCCACCAUGUGGGGGCACCUGAGAAGGUGGACAUCUGAAAAUUAGAAAGACAGCCCUCGAAAGGAACCUGACCAUACUGGCACUCAGAUCUGACACUUCAGCCUCCAGAAUUUAGAGAAAAUAAUCUUUUAUUAAGACACCAAUCUGUGAUAUUCUGUUAUGGAGGCCCUAGCUGAGAUAUAAAAUUUGAGGAAGUUUUAAGCCUCUUUCUCUCACUUCAGACCCUCACUCCCGUAGUCCUUCUUUCCCAGAGGCAACCACUACAAAUUAUUACAAUUAAUAUACUAGAAUAUAGAUAGACAAGAAAUGGAUAGUGCUUUUUUUGUGAAUGAGAAUAUUCUACAUAUAUGGUCCUAAACUUUGCCUUUUUAUCUACCAACUUUUCAUGUAAACUCAUUUCAUAGUAAAGAUGAUAUUUUAAAAGUUGUCACUUUGUAUCAUUUAUGAGGAACUAGCAUACUUGCUAUAACCUG
rnacentral:lncRNA from 1 species